UGUCCUUUAAAUAGGGACCCGUAUGAAUGGCGACAUGAGAAAGAAACUGUCUCUUUAGGCCAGUUGGUGAAACUGAUUUCCCUGUACAAAAGCAGGCAUGACAAAGCAAGACAAAAAGACCCUGUGAAGCUUAAAACUAACCGUCAACUUAUGACACUCCCUUUUAGUUGGGGCAACUAUAGAGAAACUAGACCUCAAACCAUAUCACCAAGACCAACAAGUCUAAGUGAAUAUCAACACCGACCCAGCAUGGCUGAUUAAAGAACCAAGUUACUCCAGGGAUAACAGCGCAACAUUCUUGAAGAGUUCAUAUCAACAAGAAUACCUACGACCUCGAUGUUGGAUCAGGAAAUCCUGAUGGUGCAAGAGCUAUCAAGGGUCCGUUUGUUCAACGGUUAAUAAU
rnacentral:rRNA from 1 species